CCUAAAAGAAGUUUUAUAUAAAAAAGUUGAGUAAUAGAUUUAUUAGAGAAAAAAAAAAAAACUUUCGUUUCUACUAUUUCAGUAUUGUUCUCUCUCUUCACCUCACUCGUCUUUCUCUUUUCACUCUCCCAGCAUGUAACCCACGCCCUCAUGCAUCGCCCUCUUCCCUUCCCUUUCAAGUGAGUCUCAUCACCUUACUUCAACACCGCGGCGAACGACAAUAAUCCGUAUUCAGAUUUGCUCACCGUGGACAAUAGUCAUCAUCGAUCCAGAUUCAGAUCUGCUCAUAACGCACAACGACUAUCGAUCUAGAUUGGUUCGUGCGGUUGUUCUGUGAUAUUGGAUCAGAUCUGUGAUUUGAUUCCACCAUGACAUUACCGACGACCACAACCAUGCAUGCCUCGAAACUCCCACACGUCGGAGGAGUGACGAUUGAUACCGCUACGGAACCUUGCAAUGCAAUUCUGCAACGCCUACCUUGAACGUCAUCACGAUCCAAUGGUGGUGUUUGACGCCCUUUCCUCUCCUACUCUUCAUAUUUGUUUCAAAGAUCUAUUUCAGAGUUUCCAUGACGACACCAAAUUUGAACCAAAUCUAGGAGUUUUCUUGUUUCAGAUCUGGUUUUUAUUUUAUUGAUUAUUUUGAUUUUGUUGUCUGGAAUGAAUUGUUGUGUUUCUUCACAUUGACUCUUGAUCUAUUCAUUGGUUUGUUCUCUGAAAUUAGUUGAAGUGAAACAUGUAAAAAUUAAUUUUUUAUUAUGAAAAGACAUUUAUUUGUUGGUUUUGAAUCACGAAAAGUCUGAACAAAUGUUUUUUUCAUAAUAAAAAAAAUAUUUUUUACAUGUUUCAUGAAACAAAUGUUUAAGAACCUCAAAUUAUGGCUUUAACGUUAGAGUAAAACAUAACACCGGUUCUUAAAUCUGACUUGUUAAUAAGUGACCCACAAAAAUUACAUUAAGAACCCAAAAACGGUUCUACCGUCAAAGAUGCUUUAAGAUUUAAUAACAAUUUUUGAGUUGGGUUUUUGACCUCAAGAAUCUCUUUCCAUUAAAUCUAUCAUUAUUUUUGCUGUAAGAAGUGAAAUUAGAGGCUUGAUUAGUAAGUUAGUUGUCAUUAGAAAAAUUUGGAUUAAGAGGAAAAUAAGAGGGUAUAAAUAAUCGUCCUUAUGUAUAUUCUUAUUCAUGAAUAAAGUUUUGAAUUGUUCUUCUUGUAUCUUGAGAGUAGAGAGUGGGAGUUCAAUUGGGUAAAUUCUAUUCUCAAUUGUUAUAUUUGGUAUCAGAGUGGCAUGAUGAUGAUGGUGAUCACGAAGGAACUUGAGACUUGCAUGGAAUUCUAUGAGAAGAACCUCUCUGAUCAUCAAGAAUAAAUGUAGAAAAUGUUGUAAAUGGUGCAGAAAUCGAUCGAAAGCCUCACAGCGGCAAUUGCAGUGAUGAACGUUGGCAAGAAAAGAUCAUCACAGUGGAAUGCUGGAAACAGUUCUUUCAAUAGUUGAUAAAGCAUAGAUUCCAUUUCCAUCCUUUGAUGGCUCCAACUUUCGAGAUUGGAAAGCAAAAGCAGAACAAUUUUUUGAAUUGAAGGGUAUCCCUAAAGAAUAAAGGAGUCGUUUGUUAUUACUAUCGAUGGAUGGUAAAGCCUUUGCAUGGCAAAGGCAUUAUAUGCUAAACAAUAACAGAGGGAAUUCUUGGCAACAAAUCAUUCAUAAUGCUGGAAGCAGAUUCGACACAAGUGCAUUCGAUGAUCCAAUAGCAGAAAUUGCAAGAUUGAAGCAAGAUGGCCCUUUGAUCGAUUACCUAGAAAACUUUGACACAUUGUUAGCUCGAGUAUCAAUUACAGAAGACGUAGCAUUAAGUUUUUUUCUUUCUGGUUUAACCAUUGAGCUUGAGAAAUCAGUAAGGGUUCAUAGGCCAAACGCCAUGAUUUUUGGUGGUUGCAUCUUUUUUUCUGGUGGUGCCAUUAAUGGUGCUGCUGAAAAUAUUGCUACGCUAAUCUUGGGUCGUAUCUUGCUUGGUCUUGGAGUCGGUUUCACAAAUCAAGCAACGCCAGUGUACCUAUCCGAAAUUGCUCCUCCCAAAUGGUGAAGUGUGUUCAACACUGGGUUCCAAUUCUUCGUCGGUGUGGGUAUGGUGGAACUGAAUAAACUAUGGCACCGUGCGGCAUCCAUGGGGGUGGCAUGUGUCCCUCGGCCUCGCCACAGUCCCCCCAACCAUCAUCACUGUUGGAGCAUUCCUAAUCCUUAACACCUCAAGCAGCCUAGUGGUGCGCAACCAAAUACCCCAAGCCAGAAACACUCUCCGCAAAGUGCAUGGCCUCACUGCUGAUGUGGAACUCAAAUUACAACACGUGAUCCAAUCGUCCUAGAUUUCAAAAGCCGUGAAAGGGGAAGGUUUUGGGAUCAUGUUUGAGGAGCAGUAUCAGCCUAAGUUGGUGAUGGUGUUUGCGAUUCCGAUGUCUCAGCAGCUCACGGGGAUCAACAUUGUUGCCUUUUAUGCGCCAGACCUUUUUCAGUCUAUGGGAUUUGACAAUGACUUGGCGUUGCUUUUGGCUGUUAUAUUGGGGCUUGUCAACCUUGGUUCCAUUCUUGUCUCAACUGCUAUUGUUGAUCACUUUGGGCGAAGGUUCUUGUUCAUUAUAGGCAGCAUUCAAAUGCUUAUUUGCAUGAUUGUUGUGGUUGUUGUGUUGGCAGUGGUGAAUGGUGUUCAUGGUACAGAACACAUUUCAAAGCUCAACGCACGAAUGAAGAAAAAAGGCAGCAGAGCUGUCACGGAGGUGUUGAUUCAAUGGCAACAUACCAACCCAGAAGAUGCAAUUUGGAAGGAAUUACACAGUAUGCAACACCAAUUUCCAGAUUUUGAUUGGAGAGCUAACAGGCCUUGAGGACAAGUCCUAUUUUUGAAGAGGGGGAAAGUUGUAAUAAGUGAAAUUAGAGGCUUGAUUAGCAAGUUAGUUGUCAUUAGGAAAAUCCGGAUUAAAAGGGAAAUAAGAGGGUAUAAAUAAACGUCCUUAUGUACAUUCUCAUUCAUCCAUGAAUAAAGUUCUGAAUUGUUUCUCUUGUA